UGAAAUGGCUCUUUGCUUCUUUUUUUCUUCUUAUUAUUUUUUUUUGAACAUUUAGUAGCUCUUUGCUUUUAAGGUUGCAUUGAUAAAAUUAUAAUUCAUCAAAAAAAAAAAAAAAAAACUAAAGAUUUGCUACUGGUGUCCUGCAGUGGAGAUGUUGAGAAUAUUUACCUAUAGCCAAUUGCAAUUGGACUUCCUUACUAAAGAUGGAGUGACUAGAGCAUCAGUCAUUGCCUGUUCUUAGUAUUCUAUUUUCAAUCUUUUCUUCUAAACAAAUAUUGUUACUGUCCCAUCUCAGAUUUGAAGCAAAACAGAGAGAAACACCAUGUUAAAGAACUCUUUAAAAAAACAUUUCUGUUACAGGUCAUUAUCUAUCAUUGUGCUUUCUCCAUGCAGAGACCUCAGCUUUAACAGCCUGACUGGCGAUAUUCCAAGCUCCUUUGAAAGCCUUGCAAGAGUGGAUUUCAUGUAGUUUUGCACUGAAGAAGCAAAUGCUGGAUGACAGAAGAUUCUCCAAAAUGCAUCUGAAUUUGCAAUGCCUCCUGCAGGUAUUUUCUCAAUGUCUAUACACAUUGCCUUAGAGAAAAAUAUGUACAAAAGGUGCUUACCCAAUCACAAGGGAAGCGCACUAAAUAGGAAAACUCCACAAACAUCACUACUUGUGGCUUCACCUAGCAGAUGUGGGACAUCUGUAUGGUGUGACUUACUGUGUAGAUACCUGGUCCAGAAAUCAGGUGGAUCACUCAUCAGGGAGCCACUUGUGUGUGUGAUUGUGGACCAUUGGGAAGUUGUUUAUGAAUGUGAAAACCAAAGUAGCCUGUAUUGUGAAUGCUAUCCAUCCAAGUGGGGCCCAAUAGAGCAAUGAUCCCAGAUUUACAAAAAUAAAAAAUAAAAAAUGAAGAGAAUGCCAAUUGUGUUAGAUGCCCCAUUUGUUUGGAUAUCAAACUUAAAUAAGUAUCUUUUUUUAAAAAAGUAAUUUAUUUCAGUCCUUUUUCUUUUUUGCUUUUCAAGUUCCAAAAGCAACUUAUUUCCUUCAUUUUUGUUGGUGACACAGCAGGUUGAUUGCAAAACAGUAACAGUUCCUUCAAUCUGUUGAUACGAGACAACUUUUAUCCAUUUGUAGUUCUAUCCAAUCCUCUUCUGUAGUUCCUUGUUAUCAUGAAAACCCAUUCUCCGCAAACAUAAAACUUUCUGUGCUUUUCCAAUUAGUGAUGCUAGAUGUUUGGAACAAAAAAAAAAAAAAAAGGGAAAGAAAGAAAGAAAGAAAGAAAAGAAAAGAAAAGAGAGAAAAAAAGAAGCUAGAAUGUAAGAAAACUGCAAGUGGACUAAGACCAAACCACUAACAAUUAACUCAAACCACAACUAAAAAAUCUAAGGAUCAAUUAAAAAUACAUUAGUUUGUGUUUAUCAAAUAUAAGAGAAAUGUGCUCAAGGGAACUAAGACCAAACCACUAACAAUUAACUUUGGUGCUUGCAAGUUAUGUUGAGGAUGCAGGGGAUCCUUAUAGAGAUCAGAUGGAAGAUUAUAUUAGUUUAAUAAUGGAAGAAUUGAAAUCUAGAGGAAUUGCCAACAAUCACACUCUUGCAUACCAGGUAAUUCAUUUAAAAUUUCAGCUUUUGGUUUCUAGCUUUGAUUUCCAACUAUUAGAAAUUUCCAAUAAUCACUCAAACAUCAUGGCCGUCAUCAAAGUAGGUUUUUCUGAUUUCUACCUGAUCAGCUUUACAUUGGAUCGUUUACAUUUUUAUUUUUUGUUAUUUAUGCAAGUUCAGCUAGGAAUAAUUCUUUGACGAAUUAAAAGAUGAUCAUUGCAUGUUCUUGAUUUGGAUUUCUACCAACCAUUCCCUUGGUCAGUAGCCAAUUACCUUCUUUCAAGAGGUUUUGCAUUAUGUGACCAUCCUUCCAUCUUGGACAGAGAAGAAACACAGGGCUUGUUCAGGUACUAGAAUUAUGUCCAUGUUGUCCAUAUUCUUUUCUAUCUUUCCGUAUUCAUACUAAAGGCAUAUAGUAGAUUCAAUUUCCCUCUGAAAAAGCAGCUUCCCAUAUUUUACCACUUAAAUAUGGUUGUGUUGUGUACCAAUCACAACCAAAUUCAAACAAGUGGAGA